GGCCCUACGGGUUGUAAACUGCUUUUGUACCGGAAUAAACCCUUUUACGUGUAAGAGGCUGAAUGUACGGUAAGAAUAAGGAUCGGCUAACUCCGUGCCAGCAGCCGCGGUAAUACGGAGGAUCCGAGCGUUAUCCGGAUUUAUUGGGUUUAAAGGGUGCGUAGGCGGCCUGUUAAGUCAGGGGUGAAAGACGGUGGCUCAACCAUCGCAGUGCCCUUGAUACUGAUGGGCUUGAUUACAGUUGAGGUAGGCGGAAUGUGACAAGUAGCGGUGAAAUGCAUAGAUAUGUCACAGAACACCAAUUGCGAAGGCAGCUUACUAAAGUGUAAAUGACGCUGAGGCACGAAAGCGUGGGGAUCAAACAGGAUUAGAUACCCUGGUAGUCCACGCCCUAAACGAUGAAUACUCGAUGUUAGCGAUAUACAGUUAGCGUCUAAGCGAAAGCGUUAAGUAUUCCACCUGGGGAGUACGCCCGCAAGGGUGAAACUCAAAGGAAUUGACGGGGGCCCGCACAAGCGGAGGAGCAUGUGGUUUAAUUCGAUGAUACGCGAGGAACCUUACCCGGGCUUGAAAGUUACUGAAUGAUCCAGAGAUGGGUCAGUCCUUCGGGACAGGAAACU
rnacentral:rRNA from 1 species